AUUGAACGCUGGCGGCAGGCCUAACACAUGCAAGUCGAGCGGAGCGGCGGACGGGUGAGUAAUGCCUAGGAAUCUGCCUGGUAGUGGGGGAUAACGUCCGGAAAGGGGCGCUAAUACCGCAUGAUAUCAGAUGAGCCUCGGUCGGAUUAGCUAGUUGGUGGGGUAAAGGCCUACCAAGGCGACGAUCCGUAACUGGUCUGAGAGGAUGAUCAGUCACACUGGAACUGAGACACGGCCCAGACUCCUACGGGAGGCAGCAGUGGGGAAUAUUGGACAAUGUGCGAAAGCCUGAUCCAGCCAUGCCGCGUGUGUGAAGAAGGUCUUCGGAUUGUAAAGCACUUUUAGUUGGGAAGCGGUACCAACAGAAUAAGCACCGGCUAACUACGUGCCUGCCACCGCGGUAAUUC
rnacentral:rRNA from 1 species